rnacentral:lncRNA from 1 species
UUCCUUAAUCGCUGCAUCCUAAGGGCACUUAACGGCGACGGGCAGACUCACAGCUGCCUAACUUCGCCAGGGCUCACUGUCAAGCGCCUUGCUGGGGCAGCCCCGGGGCACGGCUGCUCUGGGGGUGCCCUCGCCGCCGCAGAAGCGCAGGGGCCCACCAUCCCCAGGCCGCGCCGCCCAGGCCUCCGCGAGGACCCCGCACCUUCACGCGCCGCCGGCCGCGGGGACGGGCCCUGGGCGGCGGCGGCGGCGGCGGCGGGGGCGGGCGGCUCCCGGGCCUGCGGGCAGGUGAGGCCUGACCGCCGGGGACCCGCGGAGGGCUGCGGGGGUGGGAGGGCGCCCCCGGCCCGGCCGACUAGGGCUCGCCCGCCCCAACUCGCAGCCCCCGGCCCCCCCCGGCCCCCGCCUGCCUCCUCGCGGCCGGGCCGCCCCCGCCUCCUCCGCACCUCCCGCCCGCCCGCGCAGGCCGGCGGGCCCGGCCCGGCUCCUCCUUCCGACCCCGGUAAUACGAACCGCCGGCGGCUCGCGCGGCCUGGCUCCCUCUCGCAAACCUCUCCCUCUCCCUCUCCCUCCUCCUCCCUCCUCCUCCCCCUCGCCUCGGCUCCUCCUCUCGGGCGGGGGCGGGGGCGGGUCGCCUGGCUGUGGAGCGGGACGGGGGACGGGGCACGCGGCCGCCCCGGCGCCGGCGGGCCGAGGGCUGCAGGGCGGCGGGCACGGGGCUCGGCCUCGCCGGGCCGGGUGCUGCUAACACCCGGCGGGCGGCGGCGGCGGCGGCGGCGGCACUUCCGGGUUGGCCUUCUCCAUGUUGAUCUCGGGAACGCGACGGGGCGGGGCCGGGCGGGGCCGCGGGGUCAAGGGUCAGCGCCUCCCUGGUUGCCGUGGCGACCGGGGGCGCGCGGCGCGAGCUCCUUUCCCAGUGCUGAGCGCUCCUCCUGGGUUUCGCGCCCGCUGCUGCGGCCUGGCAUGGCGCUGGGCUCUGGGACGCGGGCACCUGCACGGGGCGGCUGGGGAAGCCAGGGAACGUUCCUGAAAGGUGGCAACCAAGGCCCGGGCAAGCCCGAUCUAGGAAGAGACCCAGUUUUAAUCUUUGGGAACCGUCUUGGGGGUACCCUGAUGCCUGGCGCUCAGCACCUAGAGGACCUUAGAUAA